rnacentral:rRNA from 1 species
AUUGAACGCUGGCGGCAUGCUUUACACAUGCAAGUCGAACGGUAACAGGCCUUCGGGUGCUGACGAGUGGCGAACGGGUGAGUAAUGCAUCGGAACGUGCCCAGAGGUGGGGGAUAACGCAGCGAAAGCUGUGCUAAUACCGCAUGUGAUCUGAGGAUGAAAGCGGGGGACCAGGCAGCAAUGUUUGGCCUCGCGCCUUUGGAGCGGCCGAUGUCAGAUUAGGUAGUUGGUGGGGUAAAGGCCUACCAAGCCGACGAUCUGUAGCUGGUCUGAGAGGACGACCAGCCACACUGGGACUGAGACACGGCCCAGACUCCUACGGGAGGCAGCAGUGGGGAAUUUUGGACAAAGGGCGCAAGCCUGAUCCAGCAAUGCCGCGUGCGGGAAGAAGGCCUUCGGGUUGUAAACCGCUUUUGUACGGAACGAAAAGGCACUGGCUAAUACCUGGGGCUGAUGACGGUACCGUAAGAAUAAGCACCGGCUAACUACGUG